rnacentral:rRNA from 1 species
GACGGAGGAUGCAAGCGUUAUCCGGAAUGAUUGGGCGUAAAGCGUCCGCAGGUGGCAGUUCAAGUCUGCUGUCAAAGACCGGGGCUUAACUUCGGAAAGGCAGUGGAAACUGAACAGCUAGAGUAUGGUAGGGGCAGAGGGAAUUCCUGGUGUAGCGGUGAAAUGCGUAGAUAUCAGGAAGAACAUCGGUGGCGAAGGCGCUCUGCUGGACCAUAACUGACACUCAGGGACGAAGGCUAGGGGAGCGAAUGGG